rnacentral:tRNA from 1 species
UAGCUUAGUGGUCAAGCACAUGCUUAGCAUGCAUGAGGACCUGGGUUCAAUUCCUAG